rnacentral:ncRNA from 18 species
AGCUGGUAAAAUGGAACCAAAU